rnacentral:rRNA from 1 species
GAUGAACGCUGGCGGCGUGCCUAAUACAUGCAAGUCGAGCGAACAGACGAGGAGCUUGCUCCUCUGACGUUAGCGGCGGACGGGUGAGUAACACGUGGAUAACCUACCUAUAAGACUGGGAUAACUUCGGGAAACCGGAGCUAAUACCGGAUAAUAUAUUGAACCGCAUGGUUCAAUAGUGAAAGACGGUUUUGCUGUCACUUAUAGAUGGAUCCGCGCCGCAUUAGCUAGUUGGUAAGGUAACGGCUUACCAAGGCAACGAUGCGUAGCCGACCUGAGAGGGUGGUCGGCCACCCGGGAACGGAGACCCGGUCCAGACUCCUACGGGAGGCAGCAGUAGGGAAUCUUCCGCAAUGGGCGAAAGCCUGACGGAGCAACGCCGCGUGAGUGAUGAAGGUCUUCGGAUCGUAAAACUCUGUUAUUAGGGAAGAACAAAUGUGUAAGUAACUAUGCACGUCUUGACGGUACCUAAUCAGAAAGCCACGGCUAACUACGUG